UGGGGACAUGGAUGGGACAGGGAUGGGGACAUGGAUGGGGAUGUGGAUGGGGGCAGGGAUUGGGCAGGGGUGGGGACAUGAAUGUGGACAUGAAUGAGGACAUGGAUGGGGACGUGGAUGGGGACAUGGAUGGGGACAUGGAUGGGGACAGGGAUGGGGACGUGGAUGGGGACAGAGAUGGGGACGCAGACAUGGAUGAGGACAUGGAUGGGGACGGGGAUGGGGACAGGGAUGGGGACGUGAGUGGGGACGUGGAUGGGGAUGUGGAUGGGGACAGGGAUGGGGACAUGGAUGGGGACGGGGAUGGGGACAGAGAUGGGGGCAGGGAUGGGGACAUGGAUGGGGGCAGGGAUGGGGACACGGAUGGGGAUGGGGACACAGAUGGGGACACGAAUAGGGACAGGGAUGGGGACAGGGAUGGGGGCAGGGAUGGAGACAGGGAUGGGGACACGGAUGGGGAUGGGGACACGGAUGGGGGCAUGGAUAUGGACAGGGAUGGGGACAGGGAUGAGGACACGGAUGAGGAGAGGGACAAACUUUUGGCAUGGAGAUGGGGACACGGAUGGGGACACAGAUGGGGACAGGGAUGGGGACAGGGACAAACUCUUGGCAUGGAGAUGGGGACACGGAUGGGGACACAGAUGGAGACAGGGAUGGGGACAUGGAUGGGGACAGGGACAAACUCUUGGCAUGGGGAUGGGGACACGGAUGGGGGCACGGAUGAGCACACAGAUGCCCCCUGCACCCCUCAUGUCCCAGGGUUGGGGACGUGGUGUUGGGGACAGGGAGGGGCACAGAAACGGAGGUGGGGACGUGGGGACGGCACGGGGACACGGGGUCGCGGUGCCAAUGCCGGUCCCCGGCCACAGGCUGCCACCCAGGGCCCGUCCCCGUCCCCGUCCCCAUGGCGGCACCGUCCUGCCGGGCCCUCCUGGCCGCCUGCCUGGCGCUGACGCUGGGGACAGCGGGUGAGCGGGGACACGGGGACACGGGNNNNNNNNNNNNNNNNN
rnacentral:lncRNA from 1 species